AAUAGGCAAAUUGCUCUCUUCUUCCCGAUCUUCACCAAGGUCCUCUCUCUCUCUCACUGUUCUCUACAACCAAAAUUACCCCAAGUUGGGUUCCUCUUCUGCGGCGCCAUCACCGUCGCUCAGCCCUCGGCGGUGCUCGCCCUCAUAGCUUCUUCUUCAGGUUACUCUCACUUCUUCUUCUCUUAAAUGGGACGAUCUGGGUUUCAAGGUGAAGGGAGAGAUCCAGGUCAGGGACGGAGGCGAAGCAGGUCGAUACUGAGUCGACUCAAUCGUUGACGGUGGGAUGAUCUGGGUUCCGAGGCGGAGAGAGAGAUUGAGAUCUGGGACGGAGGCGAAGCAGGUCGGGUUCCGGUGGAGGUCACGAGUCCCAAAGCAUGAGGUUUUUGAUUUGUAUUGGCUUUUGAUGAAUUGAGCAAGGAGUGUAGUGGGUUUGCUAGCAAUGAAAAGAAGAAAAUCAAGAAACCCAAAAAAUUGAAAUCUUGAAAUUGAAGAACUGAAGAAGAAGCUCAGAAUGGCGCAUCAAAUGUGCCGCGACUGCCCCCAGCGCCGGAUUGAGUCGGAGUUCUCCGGCAAACUCGUCUUCAUCCACGGACUUUCCGAUUCCGCUUUUUCAUUUGGCCCAAUUGUCAUCGUUCAUGUCCAAGUUCAAUUCUCUACCCCUCUCUCUUUCAUCCCUGUGCGUUAAGUACCUGCAAAAGUUCAUGGCUUUUUGAUUUUGUUGAGAAAGGUGAAUACUCAAAUUACUUGGGUUUUUGCAGUUGUCAAGUUCAAGUGGAAAAGCUGCUUUAUCUUCUCAAUUCUUGCUCAAGUAUCUACCUAGUCAUCACCAUGAUUGCUUCACAAAAUUUGUGUAGUGAUUUGGCUCAAUUUGAUUCUGGAAAUGUAUUAGCUUUUGAUUUGUGUGGUGGAAUAGCUCUAGUGUUUGAUUAACUGAA